rnacentral:rRNA from 1 species
GUUGAACGCUGGCGGCAUGCCUUACACAUGCAAGUCGAACGGUAACGCGGGGCAACCUGGCGACGAGUGGCGAACGGGUGAGUAAUGCAUCGGAACGUGCCCAGUAGUGGGGGAUAGCCCGGCGAAGGCCGGAUUAAUACCGCAUACGACCUACGGGUGAAAGCGGGGGACCGUAAGGCCUCGCGCUAUUGGAGCGGCCGGUGUCAGAUUAGGUUGUUGGUGGGGUAAAAGCCUACCAAGCCGACGAUCUGUAGCUGGUCUGAGAGGACGACCAGCCACACGGGGACUGAGACACGGCCCAGACUCCUACGGGAGGCAGCAGUGGGGAAUUUUGGACAAUGGGGGCAACCCUGAUCCAGCCAUGCCGCGUGCGGGAAGAAGGCCUUCGGGUUGUAAACCGCUUUUGUCAGGGAAGAAACGCUCUGGGCUAAUACCCCGGGGUAAUGACGGUACCUGAAGAAUAAGCACCGGCUAACUACGUGCCAGCCGCCGCCGUAACAC